rnacentral:rRNA from 1 species
GACGAACGCUGGCGGCGCGCUUAACACAUGCAAGUCGAACGGAAAAGUCUGCUUUCCCUUGUGGAUUGCGGGUACUCUAGUGGCGAACGGGCGAGUAACACGUGAGUGAUCUGCCCCCAACUUGGGUAUAAGCCUGGGACACUGGGUCUAAUUCCCGAUAGGACUGCAGUGUGCUGCCAGUGGUGGACAACGAUUUUCUAGCGGCUGGGGAUGAGCUCGCGGCCUAUCAGCUUGUUGGUGGGGUAAUGGCCUACCACGGCGGUGACGGGUAGCCGGCGUGAGGGUGUGGAGGUCGACAGUGGGAGUGACAUACGGCCCUGAGUCCUAGGGGAGGCAGCAGUGGCUAAGAGUGCACGAAGGGGGGAAGCCUGAUGAAUGGGCGCAGCGUGGGUGAUGACGCGCUUCGUGGUGUAAGCACCAUUCGGCUGCGAAGAAGCCUCUUAGGUGGAAGGAUGGUGACGGUAGUGGUAGAAGAAGCACCGGCUAACUACGUG